GAUGAACGCUGGCGGCGCGCCUAACACAUGCAAGUCGAACGCCCCCCCCCCUCGGGGGGAACCGGUUGGCAAACGCCUGGUAAACCCGUGAAAAACCUGCCCCCCCCCCCGGGAUACCCGCCCGAAGGACCGGGUAAUACCGGUUACCCCGGGUUCCCCCUUGCCACCCCGCCUAAAGCCCCGACGGGAGGGGUGGGCUCCGCGGCCCACCAGGUAGACGGCGGGGGGACGGCCCACCGUGCCGACAACGGGUAGCCGGGUGGAGAGACCGACCGGCCAGAUGGGGACUGAGACACGGCCCAGACGCCUACGGGAGGCAGCAGUGGGGAAUCUUGCGCAAUGGGGGGAACCCUGACGCAGCGACGCCGCGUGCGGGACGGAGGCCUUCGGGUCGUAAACCGCUUUCAGCAGGGAAGAGUCAAGACUGUACCUGCAGAAGAAGCCCCGGCUAACUACGUG
rnacentral:rRNA from 1 species